CCCUCCCUCCCUCCCUCUCCCUCUCCCUCUGCCCCUUCCUCCCUACUCUCUCUGAAAAAAAAAUGACAAUGUUCAAUAAUCCCAUAAAAGAUGAUGGUGACUUUGAAGAGAGCGGUAGCCAUGAAUAUGGUAAGAAACGAUCAAUUGCUGGAUAUAUUUUGAAGAAAAGGAAAACUGAAUUUGCUGAAGGAUCAAAAAUAGGAUUUAAGAGAGAGGAAUCAUGGAGGACUCUAAAGAAUAGAGCUGCCAUUUGCUAAGAAGGGGAAAUUUGCCAGGAUACAAAUCUGAAGACUGGACACUCAGGGGUUGAAGAGCCAGAAGAUUCUUAAUAGGUCCUGUCGUGUGCCAGACAUUGUGGCAAGCUCUGGUCAAGCAAUUCUGAUAACAGUUCUGGGAAGCAGAGAAAUUCAAAAUGAAGACGGCUGUAUUGGGUCCUAAGACGCCUCCACUGCUGGAGGGACUGGAGAGCUGGGCCCCAGAAAGCUCUUCUGCCCCUUCAUCACAAUGGCCUUGGGAGUUGAGGGUCGCUCCAGGGCAGACUCCUCAAUUUUUAUGCAUCCCCUGAGAGUCAGAAACCUAAGGACGCUUCCCUGGCACCACCCUCCGUGGUGGUACCAAUGAGUUCUAGUGAUGUCAGUGCUGCUGUGUCCUUGUUUAAUAUACUUCUGAGUUGGUUAUGCUUAUAAAAUACAGUACAUUCA